rnacentral:rRNA from 1 species
GAUGAACGCUGGCGGCGUGCCUAAUACAUGCAAGUCGAGCGAACAGACGAGGAGCUUGCUCCUCUGACGUUAGCGGCGGACGGGUGAGUAACACGUGGAUAACCUACCUAUAAGACUGGGAUAACUUCGGGAAACCGGAGCUAAUACCGGAUAAUAUAUUGAACCGCAUGGUUCAAUAGUGAAAGACGGUUUUGCUGUCACUUAUAGAUGGAUCCGCGCCGCAUUAGCUAGUUGGUAAGGUAACGGCUUACCAAGGCAACGAUGCGUAGCCGACCUGAGAGGGUGAUCGGCCACACUGGAACUGAGACACGGUCCAGACUCCUACGGGAGGCAGCAGUAGGGAAUCUUCCGCAGUGGGCGAAAGCCUGACGGAGCAACGCCGCGUGAGUGAUGAAGGUCUUCGGAUCGUAAAACUCUGUUAUUAGGGAAGAACAAAUGUGUAAGUAACUAUGCGCGUCUUGACGGUACCUAAUCAGAAAGCCACGGCUAACUACGUG